UACGUAGGGUGCAGGCGUUAAUCGGAAUUACUGGGCGUAAAGCGUGCGCAGGCGGUUUCUUAAGUCAGAUGUGAAAGCCCCGGGCUUAACCUGGGAACUGCGUUUGAAACUGGGAGACUUGAGUGUGGCAGAGGGGAGUGGAAUUCCACGUGUAGCAGUGAAAUGCGUAGAUAUGUGGAGGAACACCAAUGGCGAAGGCAGCGCCCUGGACGACACCUGACGCUGAGGCACGAAAGCUGGGGGAGCAAACAGG
rnacentral:rRNA from 1 species